UAGGGAAUCUUCCACAAUGGACGCAAGUCUGAUGGAGCAACGGCCGCGUGAGUGAAGAAGGUUUUCGGACCGUAAAGCUCUGUUGUUGGUGAAGAAGGAUAGAGGUAGUAACUGGCCUUUAUUUGACGGUAAUCAACCAGAAAGUCACGGCUAACUACGUGCCAGCAGCCGCGGUAAUCGUAGGUGGCAAGCGUUGUCCGGAUUUAUUGGGCGUAAAGCGAGCGCAGGCGGAAGAAUAAGUCUGAUGUGAAAGCCCUCGGCUUAACCGAGGAAUUGCAUCGGAAACUGUUUUUCUUGAGUGCAGAAGAGGAGAGUAGAACUCCAUGUGUAGCGGUGGAAUGCGUAGAUAUAUGGAAGAAUACCAGUGGCGAAGGCGGCUCUCUGGUCUGCAACUGACGCUGAGGCUCGAAAGCAUGGGUAGCGAACAGGAUUAGAUACCCUGGUAGUCCAUGCCG
rnacentral:rRNA from 1 species